GCUGAGGUUCCAGCACACCUGAGCCAGCAUGAACUCUGGCAGCGGCAUUGGAAGGGCACUGUCACUUAGCUGUAAGAAUUUAAGAAGUGCUUGUGAAUGUAAUAAGCCUGAAGGAAAUGGCAAAGAACUCGGUAAAGAACGGAAUCACUGCAGAGACACAAGUGGAGGGGAAGCGGGGCCAUAACAGGACACUUUUGUGCCUCAAGGAUAUAUUUCCAGGAAAAUAAAACCAAGUUGCUUUUGAAGUCCUGACUUCACAUCCUGAUACUUGCUCUCUUCACGCCCUUGGUUAAACCGGGCGCAGAGCCGAGGCCUCAGCUGGGCCACCCCAUGGCCACACAUCGUGGGCAGGUUCCCUCUGAGAGCAUUAGAGCUCCCAUUUCUUCACUGAGGAUGGAAACGCAGAGACUCCCUCCUCCGUCUAUGCUACUCGACAGCCAUGACCUUUUGUAAGCUCACACGGAAGCACUGCAAAUUCACCAUGUACCAAUGUUAAGGUUUCCGUGGUGUGAACCCUGUUAUUUUUCUGAAGCAGCACAGGUAAGUUUCUCAUAGUUUUUGCUGUCUCCUUCAGCAGCAUG